rnacentral:rRNA from 1 species
UACGAAGGGGGGCUAGCGUUGUUCGGAAUUACUGGGCGUAAAGCGCGUGUAGGCGGCUCGGCAAGUCGGAUGUGAAAGCCCUGGGCUCAACCUAGGAAGUGCAUUCGAAACUGCAGAGCUUGAGUUCUGGAGAGGAAGGCGGAAUUCUCGGUGUAGAGGUGAAAUUCGUAGAUAUCGAGAGGAACACCUGUGGCGAAGGCGGCCUUCUGGACAGUGACUGACGCUGAGACGCGAAAGCGUGGGGAGCAAACAGG